rnacentral:rRNA from 1 species
GACGAACGCUGGCGGCGUGCUUAACACAUGCAAGUCGAACGGAAAGGCCCCUUUGGGGGUACUCGAGUGGCGAACGGGGGAGUAACACGUGAGUAACCUUCCCUUGACUUCGGGAUAACUUCAGGAAACUGGGGCUAAUACCGGAUAGGAAUCCUUGCUGCAUGGUGGGGGUUGGAAAGCUUCGGCGGUUUUGGAUGGACUCGCGGCUUAUCAGCUUGUUGGUGGGGUAGUGGCUUACCAAGGCUUUGACGGGUAGCCGGCCUGAGAGGGCGACCGGCCACAUUGGGACUGAGAGACGGCCCAGACUCCUACGGGAGGCAGCAGUGGGGAAUAUUGCACAAUGGGCGGAAGCCGGAUGCAGCAACGCCGCGGGCGGGAUGACGGCCUUCGGGUUGUAAACCGCUUGCAGCAGGGGCGAAGCUUGUGGUGACGGUACCUGCAGAAGAAGCACCGGCUAACUACGUG